GGGAAGCGAGAAUCAACACAUCUGGUUAGUUAUCUUCAGCUAGAAACGGAGCUUGAGGCCCUGAGCGUGUUAAGUACUCAAAAUACCCCUGAGCUAAACACACCUCAGGCCUCUGUUGCUUUUUUAUCAGAAAGGAAACCUAAGUUGAAAGUUGGCUUUAGCAAAAUGGCAGUGAGAAAAACCAAGCCAGUGAGCAGCAUCCAGUCAUGGCUCUGCAUCAGCUCCUGCCUCCACAUUCAGCCCUGUUUGAGUUCUUGUCCAACCCUGUUUGAGUUCCUGUCCCAACUUCCUCCAAUGAUGGACUAUGGUCUGGACAUAUAAGCCAAUAAACCUGUUCCUCCCUAACUUGCCUUUUAGUUCAUGGUGUUUCAUAGCAGCAAUAGAAACACAAACUAAGACACUCCCCGGGACCUUUGUGAAUUGUAGUUCUCCUGUGUCUGACCCAUGUCUUUCUAUCUUCAUGGUUCUAACAUCUCUGUCAGUCUCUUUGAUGUUACUCUUCCCUGCAGUUCAUUAUCCACGCCCUCCUUCCUCUUCACCAGCAAUGAAACUCAAGGUCUAAUGCUUGUUGGUCAAACGCUGCACCACUGAGCCACAGUCCCAGCACCCAGAGUUUUGCUACUUAAAAAUUUAAGUUUGCCGGGUAGUGGUAGUCUGAAAAUGUAAAAAUUAAGUUCGCCUUUCAUCCUAGCUCUCAGGAGGCAGAGGCUAGCCUGGUCUACAGAGUGAGUUCGGGGACAUCCAGGGUUACAUGGAGAAAGCCUGUCCUGAAAAGAAGAAAGCAUUUAAGUAUUUACUGUG
rnacentral:lncRNA from 1 species